UAAGCCUAGUAGAUAAUUAUUUCUAGUAUAGCUUAUAGUUUAUGGAUCGACUGUUGAUAAAAACCAUCAGUAAUUUAAACAGUUCCAUCAUGUAACGGUCGCAUGUGGUGACGACGUGUUGUUGACACCACAGAAACUAAAAUUCUGCUUUUGACACGCUGCUCUUGCUCUUGCCAUCUUCGCGUAUUGUAAACAUAAAACCAAGGCAUAUCGAGCGACUCCACCACUAUGAAAUACCGAAUGUGGAUAUUGCGGCUGUCACUGUUUGUUGUGAUUAUUGUUUUAUCUACCCCUUUGGUUCGCUGUAUAUUCAACGUAAACCUUUCCAGGAGAUUGAGGUACCUAGCGAGUAUUCCUGUGAGUAGCGCGGCGAGGAGUGGGGGGAGCGAGGUCAGCCUCUGCAGCACCAGCCCGCUACCCCAAGCCACCACCCCCACGAGCACCAGGCGGAAAUAUUCUCCAUUC